CCAAUCAGAACAAGAAGAAGAAAAAAGAAUCCAAAAAAUCAAGGAUAAUGUAAGGAGCCUCAAGGACAACUUCAACUUUUCCAAAAUUCACAUCAUAGGGGUACCAAAAGCAGAAAAGAAAGAGCAAGAAAUCGGAAAUCUAUUUGAAAAAAUAAUGAGAAAGAACUUCCCUAGUUUGGUGUAGGAAAUAGACAUGCAAGUUCAGGAAGCACAGAGAGUCCCAAACAAGAUGGAUGUAAAAAGGCCAACUCCAAGAUGCAUCAUACUUAAAAUACCAAAUGUUAAAGAUAAAGAGAGAAUCCUAAAAGCAGCAGAAGAAAAGCAGAU